CACGUAGUUAGCCGGAGCUUCCUCCUAAGGUACCGUCAUUAUCGUCCCUUAAGACAGAGGUUUACAAUCCGAAAACCUUCUUCCCUCACGCGGCAUCGCUGCAUCAGAGUUUCCUCCAUUGUGCAAUAUUCCCCACUGCUGCCUCCCGUAGGAGUCUGGGCCGUGUCUCAGCCCCAAUGUGGCCGUUCUACCUCUCAGUACGGCUACUGAUCGUCGCCUUGGUGAGCCGUUACCUCACCAACAAGCUAAUCAGACGCGAGCCCAUCUUUAAGCGAUAAAUCUUUGAUACACAAACCAUGCGGUUCGUGUAUGUUAUGCGGUAUUAGCGGUCGUUUCCGACCGUUAUCCCACUCUUAAAGGCAGGUUGCUCACGUGUUACUCACCCGUCGCCACUAACUUAAGAGAGCAAGCCCUCUCAAGUCCGUUCGACUUGCAUGUGUUAAGCGUGCCGCCAGCGUUCGUCCUGAGCCAGACGUCAAACUCU
rnacentral:rRNA from 1 species